GACGAACGCUGGCGGCGUGCUUAACACAUGCAAGUCGAACGGAAAGGCCCUGCUUUUGUGGGGUGCUCGAGUGGCGAACGGGUGAGUAACACGUUAGUAACCUGCCCUUGACUUUGGGAUAACUUCAGGAAACUGGGGCUAAUACCGGAUAGGAGCUCCUGCUGCAUGGUGGGGGUUGGAAAGUUUCGGCGGUUGGGGAUGGACUCGCGGCUUAUCAGCUUGUUGGUGGGGUAGUGGCUUACCAAGGCUUUGACGGGUAGCCGGCCUGGGAGGGUGACCGGCCACAUUGGGACUGAGAUACGGCCCAGACGCCUACGGGAGGCAGCAGUGGGGAAGAUUGCACAAUGGGCGGAAGCCUGAUGCAGCAACGCCGCGUGCGGAAUGACGGCCUUCGGGUUGUAAACCGCUUUCGCCUGUGACGAAGCGUGAGAGACGGUAAUGGAUAAAGAAGCACCGGCUAACUACGUG
rnacentral:rRNA from 1 species